GCUGGGCGGAUGAUGAUUCAUUGAUUUUAAUGGGUAAUUUGCGUCUGAAGCAUGUAUUCAUGAUGUUACCUAUCAUAUCACCUUGGAGAUCUGACACCCGAU